GGAUUAGAUACCCUGGUAGUCCACACCGUAAACGAUGUUCACUAGAUGGUAAGCUGCAUCUGUGGCCUGCUGUCGAAGCUAACGCAUGAAGUGAACCGCCUGGGGAGUACGGUCGCAAGAUUAAAACUCAAAGGAAUUGACGGGGGCCCGCACAAGCGGUGGAGCAUGUGUUUAAUUCGAGGCAACGCGAAGAACCUUACCUGGGUUUGACAUCCCAAGAAACCUCCAGAGAAGGAGGCGUGCCCCUCGGGGAACUUGGAGACAGGUGCUGCAUGGCUGUCGUCAGCUCGUGCUG
rnacentral:rRNA from 1 species